GGAGGGCCCAGGCUGUGCCCCCAGGGUCCCGGCCCCACGCUCCCUACGUGGCUGCAGGUCUCUGGGGACCAAGCUGGGCCCGGGAAGCCUCGGCACCUGGAGCCCCCUGGUGAGAUAACUGGCGUCCUGGCAGCCCUAGUGGUGAAUGUUUGCGGAAAGAAUAAAAGAACAGACCGGGACCAGCACUGGAACCCCGUGAGUGAGGACCGAGGG
rnacentral:lncRNA from 1 species